CCUACAACAAUUACACAGACUUUCACCACCUUUUCUCUUGCGAUAUCUCAAUUUGACUGACACCAUUUCUAUUUCCUUGUCUCCCUCACUCUGCCACCCUCUCUCGCUCGCCGUCUCCCUCACCUAGUCCGUUGUACCCUCUCUCGUCAUUGACCUCCUCUCGAAAUCUCUAUCCAGUGGCACCACAACAUGUUAGUUUUUGCAAGUCUUUUUCCUCUCAAAUCAAAAAAUCAGUCGACCUCUCUCCAUCAAUUCGACAGUGUUGCUCGCAAUCAAGAAGCAUUAAGUUGUUGCUGUAGGAUUGAGUUCGGGCUCAUGUCUGCUGUCACGGCCAUAUGCACUUCUCUCCAUGGAUUUGUGAGUAUUUCUUUCUUUGUAUCUAUCUCUUUGUGGUUAGUUUUGUAGAUGAUGAUGGUGGUUGUAGCACUGCCAUUUUUUUGUUUCGAGGUUUUCUUGUAUGCUUUUUUUUGUCUAGGUUUUGCUAUUUUGGUUUAUGAGUUUUUUUUUGUCACUUUUUCUGUUUGGGUGUUUGCAGAUGGUGAUGAUGGUGUGUGCUUUUGCUUGAAUCACUAAUCAAAGAUGUGGUUUUCUUUUGGGUUUGGUUUACACGAAGAAAGCUAAUUUGAAAUGUUGUUAUAUACCAAAGUGAAAUUUAAAUGCUAUAAUCAUAGUAAAUGCAAUUAAACUAACUUUUGUAUUGUUCCUUGAAUUCCUUACAGAUGAGACCCUAUUUCGAUAAUAAAUCUUAAAGAAAAAAAAUUACAGAAGGAGUGGGUUAGUUUUUGUGAAUUGAUGAAUUUGAAUGGUAUAUUUGUAAUACUAUUUGUUCAACUGAAAUUAAUAUGAGAUUCUAACGAAUCUUGUUUAGAAGGGUGAGAUCAUUUUUCUUUA